rnacentral:rRNA from 1 species
AACGAACGCUGGCGGCAUGCCUAACACAUGCCAGUCGAACGAGACCUUCGGGUCUAGUGGCGCACGGGUGCGUAACGCGUGGGAACCUGCCCUUAGGUUCGGAAUAACUCCCCGAAAGGGGUGCUAAUACCGGAUAAUGUCUUCGGACCAAAGAUUUAUCGCCUUUGGAUGGGCCCGCGUUGGAUUAGCUAGUUGGUAGGGUAAAAGCCUACCAAGGCGACGAUCCAUAGCUGGUCUGAGAGGAUGAUCAGCCACACUGGGACUGAGACACGGUCCAGACUCCUACGGGAGGCAGCAGUGGGGAAUAUUGGACAAUGGGCGAAAGCCUGAUCCAGCAAUGCCGCGUGAGUGAUGAAGGCCUUAGGGUUGUAAAGCUCUUUUACCCGGGAUGAUAAUGACAGUACCGGGAGAAUAAGCUCCGGCUAACUCCGUG